CUCUGAGUACUGCUGGAUGAGGAGGUAGCAGCGGACAACCAUGCUGUGCAGCCUGGGGUACCUUCAACAGAACACAAGAGCUCGCACUCAGGCAACAGGACUGGCUGGGACAGGAAGAAAGCCAGGCCUGCUGGCAAAGUUAAGUACAAAUGGGCAAAGAGGACCCCCUUUCAGGCAUGAAGAAGUGCUGGUCAAGAAAGGAGGUGCUGGCAAAAUGAGGAUGAGCCUGUGAACUUUCUUUCUGGUCGCCAGCUGGCAGCACAUGCAGCUGGGAAGUGGUUCUCCAGGAAGUCACAGAGAUGGAAAUUUGUGUGGGCAGAACCCAGAACAUGCAGAUCCAAAAGAGCCUGCUUCAGAUUCUUCUUCAGAACUAUGCCAUCCAGGACUUUACCCCACUCAUCUUGACAGAGAUUCUGAACAUCUUGGAAAAGGGCAUGGCUGCCAUGCUGAUUUUGUAUCUUCAAGAGCCUCUCGGCCCUCCAGAGCCAUCUGAUAUAGGUUGAAUAAAAGC